rnacentral:rRNA from 1 species
GAUGAACGCUGGCGGCGUGCCUAAUACAUGCGAGUCGAGCGAACAGACGAGGAGCUUGCUCCUCUGACGUUAGCGGCGGACGGGUGAGUAACACGUGGAUAACCUACCUAUAAGACUGGGAUAACUUCGGGAAACCGGAGCUAAUACCGGAUAAUAUAUUGAACCGCAUGGUUCAAUAGUGAAAGACGGUUUUGCUGUCCCUUAUAGAUGGAUCCGCGCCGCAUUAGCUAGUUGGUAAGGUAACGGCUUACCAAGGCAACGAUGCGUAGCCGACCUGAGAGGGUGAUCGGCCACACUGGAACUGAGACACGGUCCAGACUCCUACGGGAGGCAGCAGUAGGGAAUCUUCCGCAAUGGGCGAAAGCCUGACGGAGCAACGCCGCGUGAGUGAUGAAGGUCUUCGGAUCGUAAAACUCUGUUAUUAGGGAAGAACAAAUGUGUAAGUAACUAUGCACGUCUUGACGGUACCUAAUCAGAAAGCCACGGCUAACUACGUG